UGGGCCCAGGAAUCGCCUAAGUUACUAAACCAGUAAAUUCAACCAGGUCCAAUGCUUCUCUUGUAUCUAUGGCACCUUUUCUUCAACCUCCUCUUCCUCCCCUUCUUCUUCUUCUUCCAACACUUGCUUCCUUGUUUUUUUGCUUAAAUUUUUGGGAAUUUUAUUAAUAAAAAAUCAAACACAUAAAAUAUUUUGGACAAGAAUGGACCAACCCAUCCGAUUAAAAGCCCAAAUAAAAAUUAAUACCUAAUAUCUAUGGAUCCUACCUGGUCCAAUUCAAAAUAAAAUUAAAAGAAAAUAAAGUGGAAAAUAUAUAAACUCUGCAGGGUUUCCAAAUUAAGGUUUUUUUUCCAAUUUGCUUCCUCUGCCUUACUUGAAAUGUUCCCCUCUGUCAACCAUCAGUUCUCUCUUUCUCAUCUUUCGGUCAUAGAAAAAGUACCUUGGCCUCCUUUGCAUGACGUUCAUUUCAGCUUACACAAGUAAUUUUCCUUCUUGACUUCCCUUUUGUUCUCUGUUGACGGAUAGAAAUCCUUGUAUUUGCAUUAAUUGCUUGAUCUUCAUCCUUUUCUACUAUGUUCUCCAGUGGAAAGGAUGUUCUCUUGAUUUUUGUAAUGUAUCAUGAGAUCUAGUAAAAGGAACAAUGUUACCUUUUCCAAGUAAUUAACUCUCUCCACAUUUCUUUGUAAUACAUCGAAGAAACUCUCUCCACAUUUCUUUGUAAUACAUUGAAGAUUUGAUAUAUUAUAACUGAUAUCACCUCUACUCAACAAAUAAGGUUGGUAGGGAGAUAAUGGGAUGCUUUGAACCAGAUGUGCUUGGAAAGUACUUUGUUUCUCAGGUUCUUGAAGCUCAACCAAAUCACCAGACCCCUCUUUUACUGAGAGUCCUUUUUUGUUGGCUGUUGUAGAUUAGGAUAAUUAGCUGUUUCCUUAUUUUUGUUAUCAUGUUUACAUGUAAAUAUAACAUCUUGUGACAACUUAGCUUAAGCCUUCCCAGACCCUUCACCCUUAUGAUGGUGACAAUCUCAGAUAAGGGCAUUGUAGUUUAUCACUACCAACAAUUCUCUUUCCUUCUACAUGUAUCUGUUGAACUAUUGUGAAUAUGAAAUCUUUAUUAUCCAGGGCCCAAUUAGCAAAAAAAUCAGCUAACUAAUUUUUUUCUCUAAAUAUAUGUUGAAAUUGAACUUGCUUGCCUGAUAAUAACUUCCAUAUUUGUUGUACAUAACCCCCUAUGCUCCAUGGAAAUUCCCAAUCCCUUUUUAAUAUCUUUUGCAUUGCCAAUGAGUCUGUCUGCAUUAUGACCUUUUCAUAAUGCAUAUGAUUGUAACGUUUUGCUGUAUUUAGGAUAGCAAUUACUCAAGAUUCCAUAUUAUUAGUAUCUUUAAUUAUAGCCCCUUCAGCAUGCAUUAAAUCUCCUCUGCCAUAUUUUAGGCAGAAUUAGCAAAGUAGGAACAAGUCCUGUUAGAAAUAUUUGAUCUCAGGAACACAUGAGACAGUCUCUUGUGCCGGAUUAGUGCAAUAUCAACACCUUGAUGGACCUUCAAAUCCCAAUCUCCUGAUAUUAUCAUCUAUCGGAACCUUUCCCUUCCACAAUAUCCAUAUGAAAAUAUAUACUUUAAAAGGCAAGUAAUUCAACCAUAUAUCUUUAUAAGUAUCAUUAAUUCACUCUCUUUGCCUAAUAUACUGCCAAUCUAUCUUUACUGUGAAAAGACCCUUUGAGUUAAUACUCCAAAUUUCUUUAUCUUCUUCAUUUCCCUGGUCAAGUGGAUGUAUCUUGUUUAUUAUGUAUUGGACAAUUUCCUCUGGAAAUAGAGAUGACAUCACCUCCUCAUUCCAUACUCCAUGUCUUGCCAAAUCAUUCACCUGUUGAUAUCUGUCCCUCUUCCAUAUUUUCCUAUGGUAUAGAAUACAAAUCUCCUAACCCUGGCCUGUUAUCAAACCAGAUAUUUACAUCCCCUUUUCUAAUCUACCAUGAUAUAUUAUGUUCAAUUAAAUCUCUAGCAAUAAGCAUUUUCUUCCAAACUUGAGAUCCUCCACUAACUUUCCACAUUACUUUCUUGGGAUGAUUUUUUUUACAGUAUUUGUUAUACAUGUAUUUUCUCCAAAUUGAAUUUGCAGUUUUGAACUUCCACCAGAGUUUGUAGAAUAGGUCUGUAGAUACAUCAUGUAAUAUUCUGAAACCUAACCCUCCUUCUUCUUUAGGUAGACAAAAUCUCUUCCAAUUCACCUAAUGUCUUCCUCUUCCUCUUAUUGUACUACUUCUAAAAAAAUUGAGCAAAUAUUUUGUGUGUUAUGAUCAUAACAUUUAGAGGGGGAUUCAUAAUAGAAAUACAAUGAAUAGGAUUGCUUUGCAGAACAUGCUUGAUUAAUAUAGCUCUUCCUCCAUGGGAUAGUAACUUGCCUUUCCAGCUUUGCUACUUGCUACCUAUCCUAUUCAUUAAGGAAUGAUAAUAGUCCUUAUUCUUCCUCAUACAAAAAAUUGGACAACCUAAGUAAGUAAAAGGGAACUCUUAUCUCUAUAUUCCUGUAGCAACCUCAGCCAUUACUACUGUACCAUUAGAAACUCUUUUAUGCAAAUAUAGAGCAUUUUUAUCUUUAUUAAUCUUCUGGCCAGACACCGAUUCAUAUUUUUCCAAUGUAUCUGUUACCAUCUUCAAAGUUCUUACUUUAGCCUUACACUAUAUAAUCAUAUCAUAUCCAAAGGCAAUAUUAUUAAUUUUGGGACUUUCCCUUGGCAUCCCAAACAACUUAAACUGCUUCUGAGAUAGCAAAGAUCUCAAGCUCCGGGUCAACACUUCAGCUGCUAAUAUAAACAAAGCUGGGGAUAAUGGAUCCCCUUGUUUAAACCCUUUUGAUGAUUUAAAAAAUACUUUGGGUUGGCCAUUCAAUAAAAUUGAAUACCAAUUAUUUGUAACUAGCCUGAAAACCAUGUCAAUUAUUUCUUCACAAAAUCCUAUAUUUCUUAGGACGUUUGUGAGAAACAACCACUUUACCCUAUCAUAAACUUUCAUCAUAUCCAACUUCAGCACUAUAUUAGGAGGCUUUCCUCUUUUCCUUAUUUAUGACACUAUCUCCUAUAUUGAUAAAAUAUUUUUAGUAAUACUUCUUCCUUGUACAAAUCCAGCUUGCUCUUUAGAAAUUAUAUCAGGCAAAAACCCCUUAAUUCUUUCAUGCAUUAAUAUUGAAAAGAUUUUAUUCAAAAAAUUACUAAGGGAAAUAGGUAUCAUAUCAGAGAAUAUGUUCACUACCAACUUCUUUGGUAGAAGCACCAAAUUAGUAUAUGUAAUAAAUCUUGGAAGUUCAAAUACACAAGAAGAAAUUUGUUAUCAUUAGAUAAAUAUCCUUACCAAUAAUCUCCCUUUUUUCUUGAUAGAAUGCUCUAGUCAGGCCAUUAGGUCCCCUUAUGCUGUCUCUAUUUAACCCCAUCACUGCAGCCUUAACUUCCUCCUAACUUGGAGGUUUCUUUAGUUCUUGUCACGUGAAAAUACUAAAGGCAAUACAUACAACAUUGAGAAAUCCAUUUCAUCCUCCUAUUUUGUAACUAUUUUUGAAAGAAUUUUGUAGUAGCUUCUACAAUUUCAGCUUGAUCUUCCUUCCAAGUUCUUUCAAAAUUUUAUAUUAUUGUCACCUUUAUCCUAGCACUUUCGCCUUUCACUAUAGUAUGAAAAAACUUGGUAUUCCUUUCCCCAUCCUUGAACUACUCAAAACCUACCUUUUGUCUCCAGAAAUCCUCCUCCCUUCCUUAGCUAUAUACUAAGUUCAUCCUGUGCUUUCAAUAAUCUAGCUCUAUUGGUUCUUGAAGGAUCUUUCUCAAACUGAUUCUCUCUUACCUUCAAAACCUCCUCUAAUGUAGCUAUAGCUUGAAAGAUAUUUCCAAACUUCUGCUUGCCCCACACAGUUAAGGCAACUUUUUUUUUUUUUUUUUUUUAUGUUUUUAAUGAAAGACUGUAAAUGGAUUCCGCUCUAGUUCAGAAUUCCAGUUCUAUCUUACCACCUCCAUACAAGAUUUCUCUUUUAACCAAAAUAUUUAAGAAUCUAAAUGAUUUAACUAUAUGCUCCUUUUUGCUACUGAAUUGCAGCAAUAAAGAAGCAUGAUCAGAGCGACUCCUUACCAUAUGUUCCACAUCUAAUACUGGAAAUACAUAAAUAAUCUUAUCAUUGUACAGUACCCUGUCCAGUUUUUUUAAAAUACUCUCUCUAUUAGUUCUCCCAUUCCACUAAGUAUAUUUUCUACCUUUAAAUACAUGCUCCUCCAAAUUGUACAUACUGAUACAAUGAUUAAAAUCUGAUGUCUCUUCCACUAUUACAUAAAGUCCACCCAAUUUUUCUUCUUUAUCCCUAAUCAAAUUAAAGUCCCUCCUACUAGCCAGGGUUCAUUAAUACCAUUAGAUAAGUCUCCCAAAGAUUCCCAUAAUACUAAGAUUUCAUUGGGACUACGCUUUGCAUAUACUAGUGUAACAUUUACUGAUAUUCCAACAUUUUUAAUCUCUAAUCUCAAAGUAAGUUACUAUUCCUCAUUACUGAUUAUACUAUACUCUACUGUAGAAUCCAUGAAUGCCCAUAUCUUGCUUGAUAUAUUAGCUGUAGUAGCUGCAUCACCAAUCUUCUUUUAUAAUCAUUAAUAUUUAGACUUUUCUGAAAAGGCUCCAUGAGGUCUAUAAACCAAAAUUGAUGUAUCUUGUGCAUUGUAAUUAACCUUGUGAACGCUUUCUGAGUAUUGAAAGUUCUAAUAUUUCAUAUCAAAGUAUUCAUCUUGAUUUUGAUUUUGUUGUAUGACUCCUUGUCUGUAUUCUACUUUUUUCUAUAUUUUUGCUUUUUUUCUGUUGUUUUCCACGUUUAGCACUCAACAUUUGUAUUUUCUUUGGAGACAAAUCAGCUGCUACUGCCACCUGCUUUAUAUUGUCCUCCAAAUCCUCAUCAUCAAUAUCUACUUUCUUAAUAUUUAUAAGUUCAAGUUGCUUUUCUGCAUCUAUUACAAUCACCAUGACUUCCUUAUUUGUAUUUUGCUAUUCUACUAUCAUCAACUCUCUGUCUUUGUUACAACUUUCAGCUUUCUUUUGGUGGUCAUUUGAAUGUUCACUGUGCCCUAUACUUGCUUCCCUUUGCUGAUGUUGAUCUCCUUACUUUUCUACAUUAAUAUCCUCUUUACUUCUGUUAACUGAACUUUGUUUUGCACUUUCAUCUUUCUGCACUAUAUUUGUUUGCUUUGGUAUUUGACUCACUGUAUCUGCAUGCUCCUCUUGGGAAUUUAUCUUACCAAAGCUUUUGUUUACCCAAUCCUUUAUAGACUCCUUGGUGCUUUCUUCAUUCUUUUUAAUAUCCUUAAUCCCUCCCUCUGCAUUUAAAGCUUCAAAAGCAUUGGUAGUAGUCACUUCCUUCUGAUUUUCUCUUUCUACCUCACCAACUAUAUGUCCAUACCUAUCCCUUCUAUAUUUGAUUCUUCUAUGUAACCAUUACUAUUUAUUAUUCUUUGUAGUUUGCCUUUCAGUUUAUUUUUAUCUGCUAUCUUAUCCCUGCCUUCUUUCCUUAUUCUUGUCUUUUUUUUUCUUCUUACACUUUAUUAUGUAACUCUGGAUGAAUAUUCUAAUAGCUUGUUUCAUCAUGACCUUGCAAAGAACGUUCUUUGCAGUACUUAGGCAUGUAGUCAUAUUGUAUGCUAAUCCAUUUUGACUUUAUUUCACCAGUCACUUCAUUUUCUUCAUUGAUUUUCACGCUCUAAGUAGCUUAGCUAUCAAAUCAACUUCAACCUUUACCCUUGCACAAUUAGGACUUGUUUGAUUCUUUGUAGCCUUGUCUAACGUUAAUGGUUUUCCUUCUACCAAAACUAUAUAAUAAAUUGCCUCUUUUGCAAAACAAUUUGGUGGAAGACCAGGCAUUGAAAUCCAUGCUACUUCUAUAGUAGUUUCAAUAUAUGGCUUAAUCCAUGGAUCCCAUUUAAGUGUUCUCAUCUACCAGUACAAGUCCUUUGCCUUAAUAUAAAAAGCUGAUGUAGAUAGUAGUUGCACAUAAUCCUCCAAUCCAUUCAAUCUAAUAAGUAUGUGUCUUGCACCCAACAAACCUAUUGUGCAUUCUCCCUUUAUUCCACAUUGCAUUGGUAUAGACUUUUUUAACUCCUUAAUAUUAGGUUUUCCAUAAGAGAACUUACCAAUUAUAGCGUAUAACAAAUUCUCUUGCAGUCUCAUAUUUUUCACCUCUGAGUAUUUCCACGUAAUACUUGGUUCGCCAUGCAACAUUAUAAUUAGUUUUGAAGGAACCCUAACAUUCUCAUGCACGUACACUUUAGGUUUGAAUAAAUCUGCAUAUGAUGUCUCUUUCACAUCAAGUUUUUGUUUAUCAGCUUUCUUAUGUAUCACUAUUUCCUCCAGUGGGCUAUUCCCACCGGAAGUAGCAGCCAUGAUGGUCAAAAAUUAGAUCGAGAUAAGGGUUUUUGCAUGUGGCGGCUUAGGAUUUCACUUGCUACUUUUCUUCUUUCCUUUUAUCACUACUGUCACUCUUUUCUACUCUUAUUGAAAAUGUUUAGAGGGUGACUUUGGAAGUAGCAGUAUUGCAUCUGUAUCUUGUACCACUGGGAAAACGGACUGUCUAAUUGUUGGGUAUAGAAAGAUAUGGGACACAUUAGGAUAUGGAGGCUACAUGGGGUCGAGAUAAACUGUGAACUGUACAGGCAAGCACCGCCAUAGGAGAAACCCAUUAGUCUGACAAGUGAUUUUUGAGAAGACUCAAACAACAGUAUAAAAUGGCAGAAUUAGAGAUGUCUUUACAUUCAAAAGUAACUUUUAUGGAUGAUCCGACUGAUAGGAACGAGAAAUACUACUAUAGGUUUGGUCCCUUCCGUAGGCUAUGUGGUGCACUAAUCUUUUAUAGAAAAUUAUUAGUGUUCCUUUUUUUGUUUAAAUAAAGAGGCCCAAUGGGCCAGAACGAAAAAAGGAAAGAAAUAUUAGUAUCAUAGCAUAAUUUAACUUACCAUAGCUAUUUAAAAUUUUUAUCCUUUUAAAUAAUUACAUAAAUCUCUUUUUUUAUUUAAAAAUUCGGAUACAUCACAGAAGAAUGUGAUGUAUCCAUGUAACAUUAUGUGAUGUAUCUUGAAGAAUGUGAUGAAUCUAUGUGGAAUAAAUCAGGAUUUUUUUUUUAAUUUUGAGAAAAGUUGAGAUAAGAGUGUUGUUACCUUUUAAAAGGAUUGAGAUUUAUGUAACCUUUACAAAAAAAAAUAAGUCUUUAUAAAAUAGGAUAGGCCUAACGAGGUUAAGCCGAAAAAAACAAAAUAAAGAAAAAAAAGGAAAGAAUACUAAUUAGGAAACUCAAAAAAUGAACCGGCAAAGAAGAAAAAUAUCAAGAGAUUGUAGACAACUCCAUUGCUUGAAUUCUAUAAAGCUCCAUCGCCGGUGAAAUCGACAACUAGGAGCUACAACAACAUCUGAUAUGAAAUCUGUUUUGAGAAGUGUAACCUUGAUCCAAAACUAUGCUUCUUUUUCUCGCAGGUAAGACUUCUUAUCUUUGAUAAAAAAAAUCAAUAGGUUAAACCCCAUAGAAAUUGUAUCACCACUGAGGAUUAGAUCCUUGAAUAGGCCAUUAAUUUAACCUUUUCGACGUCAGUAGGUAUGAAGCUGAUACUUUGGGAACACAAUGUAGAUCUGAGAUAUGAACACCUAGCCUUAAGCAUAAAGAACCUAGUAAACCUAAAUAAAGUAAAUUUCUUUACUAUAACAAUCACUUGGUUGAAUCCAAAAAACUACCACUAAUGUUAUAAUCUCAAAUUAACACCGAUUUAUCUUUACUAUCAAGAGCUUCAGUCUUGGAAGUGGUCUUGAAAGACAAAACUCAUCCAACAUAAUGAGAAUAUUUUAAGAAACAUAAAGAGGUAUAUCUCGAAUAUCAAAGAACAAUCUCAAUUUCUUAUCUCUCAACUUCAAUUACUUGAACCCAGAGGUUAAUACCACCAUUAUUAGUUAAGAAUUUAAAAUUUAAAAUAUCCAUGAGUCAACUAAAAAUCGAUCUAUGAAUACAUAGAAUAAGUGUCAAGAAUACACUACUUAUAUCUUCUAUUUGAGUUUCAUCCUAUAUGCAACACCUCAGAGCUCUGACCAGGUGCAUGGUAUUGUAACCAACAAAAACUAAUUCAAACAUCAUUAGUAAUGUAGGUAGAUUAUUUCUUAAUACAAAGUUGUAGUAUUCAUCAGUAACUAGAGAUGAACAAUUAUGAAGUAUUUAUUGAACCUGAUUGCCUAAUCCUCAUGUUUGGAGUACAACUUAGGGAAACAGUUAGAGAUACUUUACAAUUCUUAGCUUUGAAACAAAACUUUCCACUAUUUCACUAAGUCUAACUUAUGGGUACUCUAUAACUUAAACCUUAUAGACAAAAGUUAUAACUUAUGUUUGAUGAGAAAUGUACCUAUGUUUUAACUUUUGCCUAUAAAGUAGAACUUGUGGUUCAUUGUGUAGGUUACUUGUCUUGAAAUAUCUAUUUUACAAGUAAAAGUUAGAACGAUUGUCUUAUGGAUAAAAUUUAUUAAUUUAGGCCCAUAAAUCAAAGGCCACUUUUGCUAAACUUUUCUUAUGGGAGACAAAAUAUACCGACCAUCCCAUUUUAGGAUCAUUUCUGAACUUGAACAAAUCAUUUAAACAUAUUAGUGCGCCUUAAUGUAUCUCCCCUGAAAAGGGUAAAAAUUUCCCUUAUGUACAAAAUUAGAGCCAUUUUUAUCAAUAGUAGCAACACUUUAUAGUUUAUCAAACCUAUACAAGCAUGGUAAAAUAUGGAUGAAACAAGGCUUACAAUAGAUUUUGUAUGAUCUUUCUACCUAAAACUAUGUUAUCAUCUUUCCCAUUUUUUCCUGUUUGUUCCAUAAUUCCAAUAUCAAUAAAGUUGCGUCUUAAUCAAUUUUAAUACACUAUCAAAAUAUUCUACUUACUCCAUUAAAAUUUCAAUUGGAUUCCCUGUAACAUCUUUUUCUACUAACAAGGAUUGAAAAGAUAAUUAACAAAUAUAUAUUGAUAAACUAGGCAGUUCCAAAUAUUAUAUGUAAGUUGUUAUUGUAAGCAAACUCUACUAAAGGUAGAUACCGUCCCAACUACAACAAAAAUCAAGAACUCAAUGCCUCAACAUGUUUUCCAGUAUCUAAUGGUUCACUCUGUCUAUCUGUCCGUCUGCAGGUGAAAUACAGUACUCAAAUCCACUCAUGUUCGCAACAUUUCUUGGCAUGGUUCCAGAAGUUCUUAGUGAAGUAAUGUUCCCUAUAUGACAUAAUAGAUACCGGAACCUUGAAGCCUGGCAAUUUUAGUCAUAUAAAAUCUGUAUUAGGUGCACCAGUAUAGGUAGCUUUGGGGUAUGAAGUUUGUUGAAUUUGUCAAUCGAUCAACGCUACCCAUAUAGAAUCAAACACUUUACAAUUUAUAAGAAUCCCAUUACAACAUCCAUGGUGAUAUUCUCUCACUUCUAUCCUUGUCAUGUUUAGGAUAAUUUUGCUCGUCUUUUUUUGUCUCAAAGGAAAAAGUUAUGAAUUGUCUAUUUUUAAUAAGCACAUAUUCAUAUCCCACUUGAGAGGCAUCAUAAUAAAUUGUAAAUUCUAUAAUUGUCGAUGGAAGUACUAACAUUGGGGUUGUUUUCAAAUGUUCUUUGUGUUGUUGAAAACUCUAUCUGCAUGCCUCUAACCAUUGGAAUUUCACAUUCAUUUAUAUUAGCUUUGUCGAAGGUGCAACUAUCUUAGAGAAUCCCACAUGUAACAACUAUCAUAGCCCACGAGACUUAAGAAUUUAUAUCUAGACCACAAUUGUUGGCUUCUCUACUUCUUUACUGCUUCCACUUUCUUUGAGUCUACUAAGAUAACUUCUUAAGAUAAAAUAGGUCCUAGGAAGUCAAAUUGGUUAAACAAAUUUCACCAUUAGAGGCC
rnacentral:lncRNA from 1 species